UCCAGCUCAUCGCCGGCGGUCUCUGCUGAGUGCUCGGCAGCCUUUCGGCCCCGGUGGCAACAACAGACAGGGGUUGCGCUCGUUGCGGGACUUAACCCAACACUUCACAGCACGAGCUGACGACAGCCAUGCACCACCUGUGCUGGCUCCCGAUUUGACGGGUCCAUCCCCUUUCGGUUCAGUACUUCCAGCAUGUCAAACCUAGGUAAGGUUCUUCGCGUAGCAUCGAAUUGAACCACAUGUUCCACCGCUUGUGCGGGCCCCCGUCAAUUCCUUUGAGUUUCAUCCUUGCGGACGUACUCCCCAGGUGGAGGACUUAAUGGGUUACCUGCGGCACCGGCUCGGAACCCGAGCCGACACCUAGUCCUCAAAGUUUACAGCGUAGACUAC
rnacentral:misc_RNA from 1 species